GAGCCUCCGGUCCUGCCCGUCCACGAGGUUCCGGUCCUGCCCGUCCACGAGGUUCUGGUGUGUCUAGUGGUAUUUGUUAGAACCUCCAGCCCCAAGAUCAAGUGAACCCUGUGUAACAAACAAACAAUGUGAGUGUUUUAAUUGAAUAAGGAAAACAUUUUUAUACCCAGGUUUCUUUCUCGUCUGUUCUUAUCUUUUUCUCUUAGCUUCUUAAAGGGAGUUGCGAAGCAUAGCAAGUUAAAACAUAACAGGAAGCAGAGUAAAUGUACAUAUAUUCCUAUUAUGCAAUGUGUUUUGAGGUGAAGUCACAGUAGGGUUGUGAUUUGGUGGGAACUUUACUGCCAGAAUUUCAGUUUGUGUAUUUUAUUUUGCAAUAUGCACACUGUUUGUUACAUUGGUCUUUUAUUGUGAAGGGUUCUCAUGUAGGAACACAUUUUCAAUGUGUUGGUUCCGGUGGUGCAAAAAAGAGAGAUGCACGCUCAUGAGAGGUUCAAGCAUGGACUGUUAAACAUAGAAGUUCAGAGAUUUUUCUUUUAAGAUACUUAUUUCUGCCUUUAAGCACGGGUCAGCCAACGAGGUAUGUUUUAUGUAUCAUAAGUGUCAUUUUUUGUUGCUUCUUACCGUAUUCUGUCUCACUGCAUUUAUGUGUUGUUUUAGUUCCACCGUGGCACCAUACUGAAGAACUUGAUGCUGUAACCACAAGAUUUACUACCAGUUAGUCGAGUUCAUGCCAUCAGUGACAGAACUCUUUAUUGACGUAAAGAAAAACAUUAAAGAAAGGGCAGAAGUAAAAGAGAAGGAAUGAUCCUUGUAGAUUGUACAUCCUCGAUACAAGUGCUGCAUCCCACGUUGUUGUCCUUUACCCUAGAUCGGGGUCGCUUCCAGCCCAUGAGCCAACACUUCCUGUCCUGGAAACCACAAAUUGCGGCCAUCAAGAUGUAAAUGUUGCUUAGAAAUAAAUGCUGAUAAUUAGCUUAAACAGCACACCGGCAUCAGGGAGGCUUAGGUUGUUUAUAAGGUUAGAUCAUGGUGGUAAUGUGCCACAGUCGUGUCCUUUUUACAAAACAUUGUGUGAUGGCUGUUUAAAGGGGGUAUGGGGAUGGUCCAUCUUUAGCAUUUGUGUUUCUGUGCUUACGAUCCGUGUUCGGUUGUAGUCCAGUACAUGGUUUUCCCUUGUGCAGUGGUCUGUUCCAGCUGAUUUCUUUUGUGUACUUUCUGCUUCUUGUUUCGCUGCUCUUGUGUUUCUUUGAUCUUUAUGAUCUUUAUUUCACUUUACUAUGUUCUAUUUUCAUGUGUUGAGUUUAGGAAUGAAACGAUUCAUUGAACGAUUCAAAUGGUUUGAUUCAUUAAGUUCAUCGAGUCAUUUCUCACUGAUUCAAAGGUUGGUUAAUUGUGCGCACCACAGUCUGAACACAUUUACUGGUGCACCAUGAGAUGGUCUAGGUGCUGUGGAGGAAAAAAGAGAAACCAGCAAAGACAGAAACGACUGGAAAUGGAAGAAAUGGUUUAUUUAUAGAGCGCCUUUCACAGAUAUAAAUCACAAAGCGUUGUACAACAUGAUAAAGAUCAGGGCAAAUACCUCCAACCAAUAAACACAUCAGAAAAACAAUAGCAGUGAUAAAGUAGAAAAUAAAAUCAUGAGUAUAAACAAAGUGAAGGUGUGAACCCGAACAAAGCCAUCAUUCUGAAACAUUUAGGGAGGGAACGCCUGGAUGAAAAGGUGAGUUUUUAGAUGAUUUUUAAAGACCUCUACAGUGUUAGAGAGAGAGAUUUGAAGGCAGACUGUUCCAAAGUCUGGGUGCAAUAGUCUGAAAGGCCCUGUCCCCUUUGGUUUUCAGUCUGGUUCGAGGAACAGCCAGGAGGUUUUCAGAUGUGGAUCUAAGGUUCCGAGAGGUGGUGUGUGGGGAUAAAAGCUCAGAUAGGUAGCUUGGAGCCUGGUUGUUAAGCGCUCUAUAGGUCAGGACUAAAACUUUAAACUGUAUUCUAUAUUCUGUUGUUAUAAAUAUAUGUUGUUAUAAUUUCCAGAAGCUUGCUGCUGAACACGUGACUGAAAUACAUAAAUUGUACUGAUUAUAUGUGACUUUAGAUAUGUUUAGACUAGGAAGAGUGAUGGUAAACCUUCACUAAACGUCAUGAGUGAUGAAGGAAGCCAUAGAGAUAAGGAGACGUGGAUGCGGGACCAUGAACAGAGACGAUGGGGUCUACACAUUGGAUCGUGCAUGGGACUGUGUCAUCAGUGAGGGGAGAGCGGGCAGCAGAGGGCGACAACGUCCUCUGCUGCCCGCGGAUAAACGGAGUAGGAAGUGACGCCACCAUCAGAGUCAGCUCUGAGGAAGUUUACAGCCACGAACAAAACUGUCAGCAAGUUUAGAAACUCUGGAUACGGCCCUGCUACUGUCUCUCAUCAGAAGCGCACGCGAAGCACCGCAGCUAGAGAGGAAGAAGCCUGUGGUUUUUCAAAAUAAGAAGAAGAACCCAACACCAGCAGACUCAGUGCUCCACUCCAACAGCCUGAAGAGACACCAUCAUCAGCUUCAACAGAUGUGUGUGAACAUGUAGGAGCUGCUGGCCCCAUGGAUCCUGCUGACUGGCCACAGCAGUAGAACAAAAUGGAAAGUAGAACUUUCUUUAUGAUGACACUUUGAUAUUUGAGUUUUGCUUUUGAUUGCACAGUUUAAUGCUGCUUUUGAUUUUUCAUCCUCACUCCAAUGAUGUUUGCUCAACAUUUUGAGUUGUUGGUUAUUGUAAUAUUCUCAGGUUACUUAUCUUUCAAGCUGACAUUUAUUCUUCAGGCUGUUGACUUUAAAGAGUUGCUGUGUGAGUAUUUAAAAUAAAAAAUUCGUAACUAAGGAAUCACUGUGGAGUUGCUUUUUCCAAUGUGUGGUGGUCGGGUGGACUUGGGUUUGGGUGAG